GCUCUGGUGGCCCAGUGGUAACACUCCCGCCUGCAGUGUGGGCAACCUGGGUUCGAAUUCCGUCAUCAGCG